rnacentral:rRNA from 1 species
UACGAAGGGGGCGAGCGUUGUUCGGAAUUAUUGGGCGUAAAGGGCGCGUAGGCGGUGCCACAAGUCACCUGUGAAAUCCCCGGGCUUAACUCGGGGCCUGCAGGCGAAACUGUGGUGCUGGAGUAUGGGAGAGGUGCGUGGAAUUCCCGGUGUAGCGGUGAAAUGCGCAGAUAUCGGGAGGAACACCGGUGGCGAAGGCGGUUCUCUGGGCCUUACCUGACGCUGAGGAGCGAAAGCGUGGGGAGCGAACAGG